rnacentral:rRNA from 1 species
UUUAUGGAGAGUUUGAUCCUGGCUCAGGAUGAACGCUGGCGGCGUGCCUAAUACAUGCAAGUCGAGCGAACGGACGAGAAGCUUGCUUCUCUGAUGUUAGCGGCGGACGGGUGAGUAACACGUGGAUAACCUACCUAUAAGACUGGGAUAACUUCGGGAAACCGGAGCUAA